CUACGGGCGGCAGCAGUGGGGAAUAUUGCACAAUGGGGGAAACCCUGAUGCAGCGAUGCCGCGUGAACGAAGAAGGCUUUCGAGUCGUAAAGUUCUGUUCUUAGGGAAGAAAAUGACGGUACCUAAGGAGAAAGCACCGGCUAAAUACGUGCCAGCAGCCGCGGUAAUAGGUAUGGUGCAAGCGUUGUCCGGAAUUACUGGGCGUAAAGAGUUCGUAGGCGGUCAAAUAAGUCAGGAGUGAAAGGCUACGGCUCAACCGUAGUGAGCUUUUGAAACUGUUUGACUUGAGUACUGGAGAGGAAAGUGGAAUUCCUAGUGUAGCGGUGAAAUGCGUAGAUAUUAGGAGGAACACCAGUGGCGAAGGCGGCUUUCUGGACAGUAACUGACGCUGAGGAACGAAAGCGUGGGGAGCAAACAGGAUUAGAUACCCUCGUAGUC
rnacentral:rRNA from 1 species